rnacentral:rRNA from 1 species
GUGGGGAAUCUUCCGCAAUGGACGAAAGUCUGACGGAGCAACGCCGCGUGAGUGAUGAAGGUCUUCGGAUUGUAAAGCUCUGUUAAUCGGGACGAAAGAGCCUAGUGUGAAUAAUGCUAGGAAGUGACGGUACCGGAAUAGAAAGCCACGGCUAACUACGUGCCAGCAGCCGCGGUAAUACGUAGGUGGCAAGCGUUGUCCGGAAUUAUUGGGCGUAAAGCGCGCGCAGGCGGAUCUGCCAGUCUGUCUUAAAAGUUCGGGGCUUAAACGCGUGAUGGGAUGGAAACUACAGAGCUAGAGUAUCGGAGAGGAAAGUGGAAUUCCUAGUGUAGCGGUGAAAUGCAGAGAUAUUAGGAAGAACACCAGUGGCGAAGGCGACUUUCUGGACGAAAACUGACGCUGAGGCGCGAAAGCCAGGGGAGCGAACGGGAUUAGAAACCCCGGUAGUCC